rnacentral:rRNA from 1 species
GUUUGAUCAUGGCUCAGAAUCACNCGCUGGCUGGCGUGCCUAACACAUGCAAGUCGAACGAGAAAGUGAAGCUUGCUUCACAAGUAAAGUGGCAGACGGGUGGAGUAACACGUGAACAAUCUACCCUCGAGUGGGGAAUAACACCGCGAAAGCGGUGCUAAUACCGCAUAAUAUCUCCAGGUCGCAUGGCUCGGAGAUCAAAAGCGCAAGUUUGCUUGAGGAGG